rnacentral:misc_RNA from 1 species
GAGCUUUGAAGUUGUAGGAGGUGGCGAGGUCAAAACUGGCUCUAUCCUACGCUGGAAAUAUUGCCUUGAGAGAAGGAAGUCCAGUGAUGGAAGCAAACUUAAAGCUUGAAGCUUUAGACGACGCAAGGAACAUAAUUAUGUUUGAUGUGGUUGAAGGGGAUGCAUUGAAGUUGUAUAAGAGAUUCAAGGGCAAAGCUGAGAUUGGUACCGGCCAUGUGAAAUGGACUUUGGAGUAAGAGAAGGCAAACAACGAUACCCCCAAUCCAGAUGGCUACUUGGAUUUGACAGCCAAGGUCUCCAAAGGAAUGGAUGCUCAUCUUUGUAAAUAACUCGAGCUUCGCUCUAAUUAAUUUCUGUAGGAAGGUGGUAUAUCAUAUCUUGAUGCUAUUUUGUAAUAUAAUCAUUGCAUGCCAGUGGAUAGAAUAUUUGCACUCUUCUUCUCUGUAUGCAAUCCUUCUCUAGCAGACUGCUGGCUCUGCUAUUAG